ensembl:lncRNA
AUGGGGAGUUGCAGGGGACACUCAUGUCCCUCACCUGCUGUGCCGUUGGCAGGCGCCGUGGGCAGGUGGGCAGGCACGGCAGUGGCCCAGGACACGAUGCAGCGUGCGGGGCUCUCGUCCCAGCCAUCCCUGCAGUCCCAGACGCCGUCACAGAGCUUUGCCUGGCCGAUGCACGAGCCAUCGGGGCACGGGAGCUGUCCUGGGGCACAGGUCCUGGCUCCUCCAGCGGAUGUGGACGCCGCGCUGGCCGCACUCCUCGGCGUAGGUGGCAAUGGCCGUGCACAGGCACUCGCAGUCCCCCCCGGAGUCACAGCUGCCAGUGGGGCACAGCAGGAUGGUGCUGUGUUGGGGCCGGGGCAGGGACAGGCACGGGGGCUCGGGACCCCCCACCAAGGGGCGGCUGCAGCCCAGCACCUACCCGCAGGCAUCGAAGACACACCAGUCGUAGAAGCGCUGGCACGGCACCUCGUCGUGGCAGGGCGCGAAGAGCCGCUGCGUGAGGAUGCUGCAGCGCUUGCGGGCCCACGUUGCCCGGUGUGGGUUCUCCUGAGGGGCAGCUGUCACCACCACGGGAAGGGGCCCCCCUCCCCACACCAUCACCCCCAAGCACCCAUCCCACCCCCACCAGCCACCCGCAGUGGGUGCCUCCAUCCCGUCCCCAUCCGUACGGCGCAGGGGUGCUGCGUGUCCGCGCCGUCCACCUCGGGGCAGAGCAGGCUGACACGCCAGGAGUUGCCGAAGAGCUCGGCCGUGGGCUCCAGCACGCCCUGCCGGCUGGCCAGGUCGUUCUCCGCGUCGCGGUCGAAGUUCCCGCAGAGCCCGGCCACCCGGCCCCGGUGCUGCGGGUGCAGCCGGACGUACACCCGCGUGCCUGCGGACGGGAUGGGGCAUGGCUCCAGGCAAACCGGGGGCUGAUCCCGUGUCCCCACACGGGGUCCCGCGUCCCCCCGGGGUCUCACCUCCGUCCCAGAGCACCGCCAGCCCCAGGCGGGACAGCAGGAGCAGGAAGAGGCCGGCUCGCUGCAGUGUCAGCCCGUUCCCGCUGUAGGCUUUGGGGGGCCGCACCGAGACCCCGUUCACCGUCACGUCCCUCCCUGCGGGGCAGCGGGGCUGUGAGGACGGCCACCCCCCCCCCCCCCCCGCAUCCACCCCUCCUGCACCGCGGGGACACCCCUCACCUCGCAGCAUGUGCACCACGGUGUUGCCCAGCACCACCACCACCGACUUGGUGCAGGUGACGCCACUGGCGCCGCAGGGCACGUUCUCGGCGGUGACGGUGAAGAGCCCGCCGGCCUCGCGCACCAGCACGUACUCGCAGUCCCCCAGGAAGGAGAAGGCCUUCCCGUCGAAGGUGAUGUAGUGCGGGUCCCCCGUGGCCACGCAGGUCCCCGCGCAGUCCUCGCUGCCGCACCGCCACCGCUGCCGGUGGCACACGCUGGGGGCACGGAGCUGAGCGCGGGGCCGUGGCAGCCCCGCGCUGCGGUGCUGGGCCGGGGCUCACCAGGUGUUGCAGUCCCUGACGAUGGUGUCGUUGGGCUGGUACAGCCGCCCGCUGUGCUGGCACGGGCACUCCUCUGGGGGCACACAGCGCUCGUCCUGCAGGCAUCAGAGCCGUGUGAGACCCCGGGGCUGAUGCAUGGGGACA